AGAAAGUCUAAGAAAACUUACAUGUGGCAUGCAUUAAUGGAUGUCCUGGGUACAGCAGCACAUUAUCCCGGUGUCUGUGAGUGUGUGGCACUUGUGGGGUCUCUGCAAAAGUCAGCACUGCUACCCUGCAUCUGGAGGCUCUUAACAAAGUGUUCCCUACAGAGGCAGUAACACAAGCCCUUCUGCAGCCUGCUCUCCACCCCCCACUUGGCAGAGAUAUCAUUUUCACAUUCAAAAGGAAGAAAGCAACUUUGAACCUUGUCUCUCUCACUCCAGCUGUGACACGAGGAUCGAGCUCUUCCCAGCUACCAGAAACUCGAACAUAAAGGCAGCAGAUGUGAAGAAAAAUGCAGUCCUUCAAAACACAAGCCACAUCCCCAGCUGAAACAGAAAGCAAGUCCCCAACUCUCCAGUGACGUAAGAUGAUCUCCCCUGUGUACGAAGAUUUUGGACAAAAAUUCAAGCAAACAAAAGUACAAAUAUUUGCCAUUUGCUUCUACAUUAUGGUGACAACAACGAUAUAACCCACAAAGGAAGGCAGAAGGGAGAAAAAUCACUGGAAAGAAGAAGAAGAAAGAAGUUUUCAGGGAAGUGGCAGAAACAUUUAUCAACUCAGUGACACACAAACCCUUGCUGGAUGACUUUGCAGCAGCAGUUGGACACUGUGCUAAGCAGACAUUGCCUGGUAUUCAUCCACUGUGGGGACUUGCAAAGCAUGACUGAAAAAGAUCACUUGGAAUGUCUGAAUGUAUUUGGAAAAACCUGAGCAGUAUAUCAGUUCAGUCUGAAGUAGAAAUACAGAAGCAUAAACCCGUGAAAAUAUCAUGGGGGAAUGAAAGGAAGAGAAGCAGAAACGUGUGUGCAAUUUCACUGAUUGCUUCCUCUGGGAAUAAAGAAGUUCAGAUACGGAAGUACUAAAAGUGACUAGGACUGAAUAUUAUCCUGCUGUUCACAGAGAUUACCCACAUUUAAAAAGGACUUGAUACCAAACUGGCAGUUCACCCAGUCUGGAUGGAGUUUAAGGUACAAUCCAAGUAGAUGAACUGUCAGAAAAAUUUACUUUAGACAAGAUUGAACCUAGGCUGGAUUUUGCUGUUACCUAUCAUCUUAAUAAGAAGUAGCAAAUCUUUGAAAUAAUGGCUUAAGUCUAACUUGGGGACUACAUCUAUCCUAAGUAGGUGAAAAACAUAUAAUCCUCAUAAAGCCAUUUUCUCUCCUCUUGAUUUCACUGAAUCACUUCAACUUCAUUAACAAGUUGCCACUAAACCAAAACAUUCAAGUGAGGGAAAGCAAAGCAGUUUAGCAGAGAAAUAACUUGGAUAUAUAGUAGAGAAAUCAGAUUAGAAAAAGGUUAAAAAAAAAAACAACAACAUAUAUUUCUGUCAUUAUAUCUCUAACAGCGUUAAUAUUUGGAGAAUCACUAGCAAAAAAAGCAUACAU
rnacentral:lncRNA from 13 species